UUCCAGACUCCUACGGGAGGCAGCAGUGGGGAAUAUUGCACAAUGGGGGAAACCCUGAUGCAGCGACGCCGCGUGAGCGAAGAAGUAUUUCGGUAUGUAAAGCUCUAUCAGCAGGGAAGAAAAAAAUGACGGUACCUGACUAAGAAGCCCCGGCUAACUACGUGCCAGCAGCCGCGGUAAUACGUAGGGGGCAAGCGUUAUCCGGAUUCACUGGGUGUAAAGGGAGCGUAGACGGCGACGCAAGUCUGGAGUGAAAGCCCGGGGCCCAACCCCGGGACUGCUCUGGAAACUGCGGCGCUGGAGUACGGGAGGGGCAGGCGGAAUUCCUGGUGUAGCGGUGAAAUGCGUAGAUAUCAGGAGGAACACCGGCGGCGAAGGCGGCCUGCUGGACCGUGACUGACGUUGAGGCUCGAGAGCGUGGGGAGCAAACAGGAUUAGAUACCCGUGUA
rnacentral:rRNA from 1 species